GACGAACGCUGGCGGCGCGCUUAACACAUGCAAGUCGAACGGAAAGGCCUGCUUUCCCUUGUGGAUUGCGGGUACUCGAGUGGCGAACGGGUGAGUAACACGUGAGUGAUCUGCCCCCAACUUGGGUAUAAGCCUGGGAAACUGGGUCUAAUUCCCGAUAGGACUGCAGGGUGGUGCCUGUGGUGGAAAACGAUUUUCUAGUGGUUGGGGAUGAGCUCGCGGCCUAUCAGCUUGUUGGUGGGGUAAUGGCCUACCAAGGCGGCGACGGGUAGCCGGCCUGAGAGGGUGGACGGCCACAUUGGGACUGAGAUACGGCCCAGACUCCUACGGGAGGCAGCAGUGGGGAAUAUGGCACAAGGGGCGGAAGCCUGAUGCAGCGACGCCGCGUGGGGGAUGACGGCCUUCGGGUUGUAAACUCCUUUCGACCGCGAGGAAGCCACCUGGUUGGAAGGGUGGUGACGGUAGUGGUAGAAGAAGCACCGGCUAACUACGUG
rnacentral:rRNA from 1 species